CGAUCCUGAAAGGAUGAAAGGCAAAGUCGACCUCGGCGGAAUUUGAACUCAGAACGCAGCGGCAGACGAAAUACCUACCUAUUUCUUUACUACCCACAAGGGGCUAAACACAGAAGGGACAAACAAGGACAGACAAACGGAUUAAGUCGAUUAUAUUGACCCCAGUGCGUAACUGGUACUUAUCUAAUCGAUCCUGAAAGGAUGAAAGGCAAAGUCGACCUCGGCGGAAUUUGAACUCAGAACGCAGCGGCAGACGAAAUACCUACCUAUUUCUUUACUACCCACAAGGGGCUAAACACAGAGAGGACAAACAAGGACAGACAAAUGGAUUAAGUCGAUUAUAUCGACCCAGUGCGUAACUGGUACUUAAUUUAUCGACCCCGAAAGGAUGAAAGGCAAAGUCGACCUCGGCGGAAUUUGAACUCACAACGUAGCGGCAAACGAAAUACCGCUAAGCAUUUCGCCCGGCGUGCUAACGUUUCUACCAUUUCGCCGCCUUUGAUGAUGAUGAUGAUGAUGAGGAUGAUUUCAAAUUUUGCCACAAGGGCAGCCAUUUUGGGGGAGGAGACCUGUCGAUGUAAUCGACUCCUCGGUGUUUCACUGGUACUUUAUUUAUCGACCCCCGAAAGGAUGAAAGGCAAAGUAAUGAUAACUCUUAUAUACAAAAGCCACAAGGCCUGAAAUUUUUUUGGUGGUGGUGGUGGUGGUGGUGGGGGGGGGGAAACAAUCGAUUAUAUCGAUCACAAUGUUCAACUGAGAUCAAUGAAAUAAUAUCCUUUCGGGAUCGAUGAAAUAAUAUCGAUCCCGAAAGGAUGAAAGGCAAAGUCGAACUCGAUGGUAUUUGAACUCAGAACGUAACUCCGAACGAAAUGCCGCUAAGCAUUUCAUCCGGCAUGCUGACGAUUCUAGCAUCUCGCCGCCUUAAUAAUAAUCCUUUCAAAUUUGUUUUGGCACAAGGUCAACAAUUUCGGGGGGAGGGGGGUAAGUCGAUUACAUCGAACCCCCAGUUUUCUACUGGUACUUAUUUUAUCGACCCUGAACAAUACCACAAUGACUACUAUCACCAACACAGUUAAUACCACUCGAACGACGACCACCAAUACUUUUACUAAUAUCGGCAUCACAACCACUGCCAUCACAAAACAAAACCGAUACCACCACGACUAUCGCCAAGGCAACCACCACCGCCAUCACAACCACUACCACUGGUAAUAUCAACAUCACAACCACCACCACUAUCACCAAGACAACUACCACCAUCAUCACCAACAUAACCAUCGCCUCUCAACUACUACCACCGUCACCAACACAACCACUACCAUCGUCACCAAGACAACCACAGCCUCACAACCACCACCACCAUCACAACCACCGCCUCACAACACCCACCACCAUUAUCAUGACAACCACAGCCUCACAACCACCAUCACCAUCACAACCACCGCCUCACAACACCCACCACCGUCACCAAGACAACCAUCGUCUCACAAUGACCACCAUCACCAUUACCAUCAAGACUACCACCGCCGCCAUCACAUCCACCACAAACACCACCAAUACCGACCAGCCUAGCACCACCACCAUUCAAAACACUGAUACCACUACAAUCACCACCACCACCACCGACAACAACAACACUAAGACCACCACAACUACCACGAUUACCAUAUAUGGUAGUGGCACUAAUGUCAUUAACAUGUUUACUACCAAUGGACACACGAACCCCUUCGUGGAUACUCGAUCUUCCAGAAACAGCAGUCGAAUCGCACGCAUUUCCUCCACACAGUCUGAGAAAAAAGAAAGGACAUGUUUGGAUUAUGGGGUUCUGGCUUCCAAACAUACAGGGACCCAAAACAAAACAACAACAACAAAAAUUCGAGGUGGUCACGGAUGGCUUUUCUUUGGUCCAUAGGUUUGCUCGAUCAUUGGUUUAGCUAGAGUUAAACAACUUUGUAACGUUGCCAUCAUGCAACACCAGCAGCAGUAGUAGUGGCUGCGGUGGUAGUAGUAAUAAUGAUGCGGUAGUGGUGGUGGUAGUAGUAGUAGUAGUAGUAGUAGUAGUAGUAGUGAUAGUAGUAGUAGUGGUGGUGGUAGUAGUAGUGGUGGUGGUAGUAGUAGUGGUGGUAGAAGUAGUGACGGUGGUAGUAGUGAUGGUGGUGGUAAUAGUAGUAGUAAUAAUGGUGAUGUGGCGGUGGUGGUGGUAGUAGUAGUAGUAGUAGUAGUAGUAAUGGUAGUAGUAUACUGACAACUCCAGAGUAAUAUCACCUUGUCUGUUCCCCGCCCCAACCCGCACCACCACCACCACCACACCACUACUACUACUACUAACACUAUCUGCACCACUCCAAAUACUACCACCAAUACCCCUAUUACUACAACCACUACCUAUACUACUACCAGCAACACCACCGCUGUUACGAACACCAGCUCCAUAACCAUUAUUACUACCACCUCUAUGACCAGCAUCCGAACGCCACCUGUCGUUAGGACUGCUAUUGCUCCUACCAUGGCCACCACCGCCAAUACCAACAAUAAUAUUCUCUCUAACAACAACACAACCACUGCUGACAUUAGCCACUACAACUGCAACACUAGUCACCAACACCACACACACUACAACCACUUCAAACUACCACCAUUACCCACCUCCAUCACCACCGCAGAUACUAACACCCUUACUACAAUCACCACUUCCGACACAAAAGUAACAGGUUCGAUAUUAAGCAACGCUCAAGGUUGAUUGCCCUUUCCGGUCGAACAGGCUGUCCACCUCUUCUCAUCUAAAUAAUGAUGAUGAUGAUGAUGAUGAUGAUGAUGAUGAUGGUGGUGGUGAUGAUGGCGAUGGUUCUGAUGAUGAUGGCGAUGGUGGUGGUUGUGAUGAUGAUAGUGGUGGUGGUGGUGGUGAUGAUGGUGGCGGUGGUUGGAUGAUGAUGAUGGUGGUGGUGAUGAUGAUGGUGAUGGUGGCGAUGAUGGUGGUGAUGGCGAUGAUGGUGAUGAUGCUGGGGAUGAUGGUGGUGAUGAUGGUGGCGAUGGUUCUGAUGAUGAUGGCGAUGGUGGUGGUUGUGAUGACGAUAGUGGUGGUGGUAGUGGUGGUGAUGAUGGUGGCGGUGGUUGGAUGAUGAUGAUGGUGGUGGUGAUGGCGAUGGUGGUGGUGGCGGUGAUAGUGAUGAUGAUGGCGGUGGUUGUGUUGAUGGAGAUGGCAAAGAUAGUGACGGCAGUGAUGAUGGUGAUGGCAAUGGUGGUGAUGAUGUUAGUGAUGAUGACGAUGAUGAUGAUGACGGUAGUGGUGGUGAUGGUGGUAGUGGUUGUGGUGGGUGGGUGGGUUAUGAUGAUGGUGAUGCUAUAAAACGAACGUUUAAGAAGAAUUCGUGACAUCGAAGCCGGUAGAUUGACAGAAUCUUUUGAUCUUCGGAGACAAAAGAGUUCACAGGAUUUCUUCCGGAUCAUUUAGUUCUGCGUUCAAAUCCCACCGAGGACAUAUUUUCCUUUCAUUCUUUCGGGGUCUAUAAAAUAAAGUACUAGGGCCCCAGCAAUAUCAAUUAAGACCCUCCCCUCAAAAUUAUUGAUCUUGUGCCUAAAUUAGAAGCCAUUAUUAUUAAUAUUAUUAUUUAUGACACCGAGCUGUAAGAAUAAGUUAGUGCGCCGGAUAAAAUGCUUCGUGGCAUUUCGUCCGUCUGUACGUUCUGAGUUCAAAUUCUGCCGAAGUCGAAUUUGCCUUUCAUCCUUUCGGGUCGAUAAAUUAAGUACCAGCUACGCACUGGGGAUCGAUGCCAUCGACUCAUCCCCUCCUCCAAAUUCCAAGCUUUGCGCCUAUACUAGAAAGGAUUAUUAUUAUUAUUAUUAUAUUGUCUUUGCACAGUUUCUAAUGCUGGAAAUGUAGUACGGUGCCAGCCGUUCACUACCAGUGAAUUAAGGUAACACCUCUUAUUUUUCGAGCACCGUCCGGAGUAUUGGAGCGGUUCCAAGCAAUGCCGUUUUCUGCAAGUGCUCCACGCUUAUUGCCGUUUUCCGUAUUUAUUCCAUGUACUUCUCAAGAUUUUUACUCCCUGUCCCCAGGGGCUCCGACAUUUAUUAAUACUACUACCACCUUUUUCAGCCACCACGACGCCAACCUAGCGGAAUCGUUAGCACGCCGGAUAAAGUAGCCAGCGGCAUUUCUUUCCGCCCAGUUUCAAAUGCCGCCGAAAUCAUCUUUACCGAAGUCUAUAAAAUAAGUCCCAGUUGAUUCCUGGACCGAGCAGUGGGUUGUGUUCUUGAGCAAGACACUUCAUUUCCCCCUUGCUCUGAGCAGUAAACGGGCAACACUCUGCACCCGAGCCUAUGUAAUGCGAUAUGUUACAUGCAAUAGCUACAGCUGUAUCCACUUGGAAACUGACUCUUCAGAUGGUUUAUUUCACAUCUCGAAACUUCUAUAUUUUCGUGAAUUUAACUCCAUUGUCUCCAGAUAUCCAGUUAGCAAGCAACAAAUAUGUUUACACGCAUGACUGAACUGGAAGCUUUCACGCACUGGAAUUUAUGCCAGUAUUAUAGGCGUGGCCGUGUGGUAAGGUGCUUGCUUCCCAACCACAUGGUUCCAGGUUCAGUCCCACAGUGUGGCACCUUGGGCAAGUGUCUUCUACCAUAGCCUCGGGCCGACAAAAGCCUUGUGAGUGGAUACGGUGGACGGAAACUGAAAGAAGCCUGUCGUACAUAUGUGUGUGAGUGUGUGUUCCGCACCAUCGCUUGACAACCGAUGUUGGUGUGUUUACGCCCCCGUAACUUAGCGAUUCGGCAAAAGAGUCUGAUCGAAUAAGUACCAGGCUUACAAAGAAUAAGUCUUGGGGUUGAUUUCUUCCACUAAAAUAUACUUUUAAGGCGGUGCUCCAGCAUGGCUACAGUCAAAUGACCGAAACAAGUAAAAGAAUAAAAGAAUGCCAAUAGAAAGAAUAAGAUGUUACACACAAGAAAAUUUUGUCCAAAAAUGACAUUCACAUCGAAAAUGUUAUAAGAAUAACAUUAAU
rnacentral:lncRNA from 1 species